rnacentral:rRNA from 1 species
GACCGAUAGCGCAUAGUACCGUGAGGGAAAGGUGAAAAGAACCCCGGGAGGGGAGUGAAAAAGAACCUGAAACCCUGUGUUUACAAGCAGUGAAAGUGCAAGUUAGGCACGAUCACGUACUUUUUGUAGAACGGACCGGCGAGUUACGUUAUGCAGCAAGGUUAAGAACUGAAGGUUCGGAGCCGAAGCGAAAGCGAGUCUGAAUAGGGCGAUAGUUGCAUGACGUAGACCCGAAACCGGGUGACCUAUCCAUGAGCAGGUUGAAGUGGAGGUAAAGCUCCAUGGAGGACCGAACCAGACGUCUGUUGAAAAAGGCGGGGAUGACUUGUGGAUAGGGGAGAAAUUCCAAUCGAACCCGGAGAUAGCUGGUUCUCCUCGAAAUAGCUUUAGGGCUAGCCUCAUGGAUCAUUGAUGGGGGUAGAGCACUGAAUGUGCGCGGGGGCCACAAAGCCUACCAAACGCUAUCAAACUACGAAUACCAUACAAUGCAGACCAUGGGAGUCAGUCCGCGAGAGAUAAGUUCCGCGGGCAAAAGGGGAACACCCCAGAUCAACCGCUAAGGUCCCCAAGUUCACGUUAAGUGGAGAAGGAUGUGGAAUUGCACAGACAACCAGGAUGUUGGCUCAGAAGCAGCCACACAUUUAAAGAGUGCGUAAUAGCUCACUGGUCGAGUGAUUGUGCGCCGAAGAUGUCCGGGGCUAAACGUGACACCGAAGCGAUGGGUGCGUCUGAAGAAGAUGCGCGGUAGAGGAGCAAUGUGCAGAGGCAGAAGCCGUAUCGAGAGGCACGGUGGACACUGCACAAGAGAGAAUGCCGGUAUGAGUAGCGAGAGGCAUGCGAGAAACAUGCCCGUCGAAAGCCCAAGGUUUCCUGGGGAAGGUUCAUCCGCCCAGGGUAAGUCGGGGCCUAAGCCGAGGACGGAAGUCGUAGGCGAUGGACAGCAGGUGUAGAUUCCUGCACUACCGAUGGAAUGAAGCAGUGACACAGAAGGAUAACUCGAGCAGGGUGAUGGUCAACCCUGUGCAAGCAUCAAGGUUGGGUUGUAGUGAAGUACGCAAUCCUAUAAGCUGAGGUGUGAUGCGGACCGAAAUUUCAGUAGGGAAGCGAGUGAGUUCACGCUGGCGAGAAAAGCUGCUAGUACAUCCAAAGGUACCCGUACCGGAAACCGACGCAGGUGGGCGAGGAGAGAAUCCUGAGACGAACGGGAGAACCCUUGUUAAGGAACUCGGCAAAAUGACCCCGUAACUUCGGGAUAAGGGGUGCCUGCGAGAGCAGGCCGCAGAGAAUAGUCACAAGCGACUGUUUAGCAAAAACACAGGUAUCUGCGAAAGCGAGAGCUGACGUAUAGGUGCUGACACCUGCCCGGUGCUGGAAGGUUAAGGGAACAUGUUAGAGCAAUCGAAGCAUCGAACCGAAGCCCCAGUAAACGGCGGCCGUAACUAUAACGGUCCUAAGGUAGCGAAAUUCCUUGUCGGGUAAGUUCCGACCCGCACGAAUGGUGUAACGACUUGUGAGCUGUCUCAACAGGGGGCCCGGUGAAAUUGAAGUAUGGGUGAAGAUGCCCAUUACCCGCGACUGGACGGAGAGACCCCGUAGAGCUUUACUGCAGCCUGAUAUUGAGUUUCGGUAACUGAUGCACAGGAUAGGUGGGAGUCUGAGAGACAUGGGUUUCGGCUCAUGUGGAGACGGUGUUGGGAUACCACUCUUCGGUUACUGAAAUUCUAACAUAGCUCUGUGAAACCAGAGGAUGGACAGUGUCAGGUGGACAGUUUGACUGGGGCGGUCGCCUCCGAAAGAGUAACGGAGGCGCCCAAAGGUACCCUCAGAAUGGAUGGAAACCAUUCGAAGAGCGCAAAGGCAGAAGGGUGCCUGACUGCGAGAUUGACAAAUCGAGCAGAGACGAAAGUCGGGCUUAGUGAUCCGGCGGUAUUGAGUGGAAAAGCCGUCGCUUAACGGAUAAAAGCUACCUCGGGGAUAACAGGCUGAUCUCCCCCAAGAGUCCACAUCGACGGGGAGGUUUGGCACCUCGAUGUCGGCUCAUCGCAUCCUGGGGCUGUAUUCGGUCCCAAGGGUUUGGCUGUUCGCCAAUUAAAGCGGCACGCGAGCUGGGUUCAGAACGUCGUGAGACAGUUCGGUCCCUAUCCAUCGUGGGCGUAGGAGUCAUGAGAGGAGCUGUUCCUAGUACGAGAGGACCGGAAUGGACGCACCACUGGUGCAACUGUUGUCGUGCCAACGGCAUAGCAGGGAAGCGAAGUGCGGACGGGAUAAACGCUGAAGGCAUCUAAGCGUGAAGCCCACCUCAAGAAUAAGUGU